rnacentral:rRNA from 1 species
UACGGAGGGAGCUAGCGUUAUUCGGAAUUACUGGGCGUAAAGCGCACGUAGGCGGCUUUGUAAGUUAGAGGUGAAAGCCUGGAGCUCAACUUCAGAAUUGCCUUUAAGACUGCAUCGCUUGAAUCCAGGAGAGGUGAGUGGAAUUCCGAGUGUAGAGGUGAAAUUCGAUAGAUAUUCGGAAGAACACCAGUGGCGAAGGCGG